CAAUAUUUGAAUUUUUAAGUAUCGAAGCAACCGCAGAAAAAAGAGAAUGGGGACGUGCGCCUCAAAGCCAGACCCCACUGAAUUCACAGGUAUACAACAUAAGUAUUCGGCAGGCAGCAUUGCAACGGGAUACUCCAGACAAUCUGAAGCAGAGACAGCAACCGAAAAGCAGUGCAAUGGCACAAAAACAAGCAAGAAAUGUGUGUGCCUUGCACCAACCAGCGAGCAACUGCUGGAAAUAGAACAGUACUU
rnacentral:ribozyme from 1 species